rnacentral:rRNA from 1 species
CGGGACGGGUGAGUAAUGUCUGGGAAACGUGCCUGAUGGAGGGGGAUAACUACUGGAAACGGUAGCUAAUACCGCAUAACGUCGCAAGACCAAAGAGGGGACCUUCGGGCCUCUUGCCAUCGGAUGUGCCCAGAUGGGAUUAGCUAGUAGGUGGGGUAACGGCUCACCUAGGCGACGAUCCCUAGCUGGUCUGAGAGGAUGGCCAGCCACACUGGAACUGAGACACGGUCCAG